UACGGAGGGUGCAAGCGUUAUCCGGAAUCAUUGGGUUUAAAGGGUCCGCAGGCGGUUUAAUAAGUCAGUGGUGAAAGCCUACAGCUCAACUGUAGAACUGCCAUUGAUACUGUUAGACUUGAAUUCGGUCGAAGUGGGCGGAAUGUGACAUGUAGCGGUGAAAUGCUUAGAUAUGUCACAGAACACCGAUAGCGAAGGCAGCUCACUAGGCCUGGAUUGACGCUCAGGGACGAAAGCGUGGGGAGCAAAC
rnacentral:rRNA from 1 species